UUUUAAUUUUGAUGAAGUUCUAGUUUAUCUGUUUUUUUUCCUCUUGUUCAUGUUUUUGGUGUCAUUUCUAAGAAUGUAUUACCAAAUUUAAGGUCAUGAAAAUUUACUGUAUUUUCUACUAAGAGUUUUAUGGAUGUAUCAUUUAUACUUAAGUCUUUGAUCCAUUUUGAGUUAAUUUUUGUAUGUGAUAUGAAAUUAAGGGUCCAACUUAAUGCUUUGCAUGUGGAAGUUAAGUUGUCCCAGCAUCAUUUAUUGCAGAGACUGUCCUUUCCCCACUGAAUGGAUUUGGCGCUCCUGUCAAAGAUCAGUUCUAUCCCAUUGGUCUAUAUAGCUAUCCCUAUAGCAGUACCACACUGCUUUGAUUAUUGUAGCUUUAUUUUAAGUUUUGAAAUCAAGAAGUGUAAGUUCUUCAACUUUGUUCUCAUUUUCAAGAUUUUUUUUUCUCUUUGGACUCCCUUGUAAUUCCAUAUGAAUCUGAGGAUGGGCUUUUCCAUUUCUGCAAAGAAGGCUGUUGAAAUUUUGAUCAAGAUUGCAUUGAAGUUUUAGAUUACUUUGGAUAAUAUUGACAUCUUAACAAUAUUAAGACUUCCUAUCCAUGAAUAUGAGACGUCUUUCCAUUUAUUUAGGUCUCCUUUAAUUUCUCUUAGCAGUAUUUUAUAAUUUUAAAUGGACAAAUUUUUCACCUCCUUGGUUAAAUAAUAUCCUAGGUAUUUUCCUAACAUCUUUAAGAUGCUAUUUUAAAUGGAAUUGCUUUCUUAAUUUCCUUUUUGGUUUGUUCAUUGUUAGUGUGUAGAAACACAACUGAUUUUUUUUUGUUGACUUUAUACCCUGCAACUUUGCUCAAUUUGUUUAUUAGCUCUAGUAGCUUUCUUGUGGAUUCUUUGGUAUUUUCUGUAUGUAGGAUCAUGUCAUCUGCAAAUAGAGAAAGUCUUCCCAAUUUAGAUGCUUUUCUUUAUUUUUUUUUUCUUAUCUAAUUGCUUUGGUUAGAACUUCCAGCUCAUUGUUGAUUAGCAGUGGUGAAAGUGGGCAGCUUUGUCAUGUGUUUAUCUGAAUUUUAAAUUUUAUUACAUAUUCUUUAGAUUUCAUUUAAAUUUAAUCACAUGUGAUUACUGGUAUGGUAUUAGACCAUGCAGUUUUAAUCUCUGCAACCUUCUUAUUCUACCUUUGUCUUAUUUUUUUGUGAUUAGUCUUCCUGAGGGAAUCUUUUGUUAACCAGUUGUUAACAAUCCCUGGAGUUCCCCUGGAGAUACACUCUUUUGUCUUAAAGCCAAUUAUAUUUAUUAAAGUUAGAAAUUAUUCUUGUUUGCAACUUUGCAAAAACCUUCCACAUAGCUCAAAAAUAGUCCUUUUUUUUUUUAAAGUAGACCCCUUCCUUAUAAGUCUGGUUGACAGGGUGUGUGUAUCAAGUGGACACACCAGAAGAGAGCUUUACAUUCGAAGAGAGUGAGGAUACAGAAUGUCUCUUCAGCUACUUGAAGCUCCUUCUGGCCUUAACUGCCUGGACAAAUUGUAGUGGCCUUACAGUAGCUGGCAUUAUUGGAAGACUGACCUGUAUUUCAAUGGAUUUGCCAGCUCUUGGAGAACCUAUGGUGAUUUCUUCUGAGGUUUGCAUGCUUUGACUUCCUUCAUGCAAGUGCUUUUAACUACUGAGUAGAUUUUUAUUUUGCAUUGUGUGUUUACUAAUCUCCUAAGUAUUGGCUGUCAUGCUGUACCAACUCUCUUUAUCUAUAGCCCUUACACACUUAUUGCACUAUUUUGUACACUCUUUAUGGCGUAAAUACUUCAAAUGGAGUGUUUGCAUAUGAAAUGAAACAGCUUUUCUUGACUUCUCUUUUUGUAUGUAGACUUUCCAAUAUAGUCAUUCUAGAUUUUUGAGGGGCAAGGUGGAGGGGUGGAGCUGAGUUGAAAAGCAUAUUACAGGAAGUCUUUUCAAAUUAAUCAACAUUUAUUGAGCUACUCAGUGGAAGGUACUGGAGAUAAGGUGGUACCUGUCCUCCAAACCAGAAUGAUCAUACUCAGUGGAAAGUGUUUUAGGAGUUACUUAAACAAGUGUCUACUCUCUGAUCAUAAAACAAGAUGGAGUGAUAAAAAUACUAUAAUAGAGGUGUAAAUAGAUUAUUGAGAAGAAGCAGAGAAAAUUCAAACUCAAGAUAUCCAGGAAGACUUCAUGAGAGAGUUCUUGUUUGAACAGAACAUUGAGGAAUAAAGAAGAAGAGAAAAGAUUUGGUAGGAGGGGAGGAUGGAGGGUAUUCCUGUUUGUUACUUGAAUAAGUAAGAAGUUGGAAGCUUAAAA